GGACGCGGAUCCUCGGAGGGCGCGGGUUCGGGAUCCUCGGACGGCUCCGGCUCCGGCGUGGGUGCCGGUUCCGCGCCGGGCGCGCCCUC
rnacentral:tRNA from 1 species